GGGGGAACAGGCGCCAGCAGGGCCCGGACUGUGGGUGGGAGUCUGGAAGCAGAGCACAGAGGAGCCUGUGGAGCACUGCAGCAAGGGCCCUGUAUGCUCUGUGAAGAAGACAAAGAGAGAAUCAUUCAGAAGACUUUGGUCCAGGGGAUGCUUCACUGCUAAAAACCUGCCAGCAAGUCAUAGCAAUGUCCCUCUGAGUCAAGUUCCUGCUUGCCCUGGUGCUGCCUCCCUCCCAAGCGUCCUGCUUAACCUCACAGCUGGUCUCUGCUAUGCAGCCAAAGCACACACCAAGAAUGUGGAAGCUCAGAUGUUGGAAUGUCACUUUGAGCAUCCCGUCCUGCUUCUGCCUGCUUGUGGAUAGCAUCCUGGCAUGGUCUGCAGGGAGCUGAUGUGGUUCCAUGUGACAAAAGGAGGAUGCUUGUCCCAGCUUCCUUGCUUCUUGAGGAGACUCAUUCUUUCUAAAGACAGUUAUCCAUCAGCCCCAGUUUGCUGAACAGCCAGCCUGUGCUUCACCUUGCCCAGCUUUUGCCAGAUCAUUGGAGCAUUUCUGUACUCUCUUUGGGAAAAACCCUUCAGAUCACAAAAAGACAGAAGCUGGAGCCUGAGGAGCAAAGACCUUUCUCCAUAGCAAUGCAGGAUAAAAAUGCUUGACCAGAAGAGGCAGAGAGAUCAAUCAGCACUCGCCGGUUUCACUGCAAACAGAUUAAAGCAUGCGUAUCUGCUCCUGUUAYUGUUCUAGACGGAAAUGCAGAGAGCAAAGACAUGAGAAAAAGAAAUUGGACGUUAAAAACAAAACCAGAGCUAUCUUUGUAGGCUGAAACUUCCCGGGUUCAGCUCCUCUGCCGYGCUGGCUCCUGGACGAAGGUGUCCCCCGGGCUGCGGAUGCUUUCCCCGGGCCGCAGUCCUUGUGGCUGCUGAGAGGGGAGCAGCUCUUCUGGCUCCGGCUGCCCCUGCUGCUCUGCCCCGUUUGCUGUGGGUUUGUGCUCCGUGGUGCUGGACUUGCCCUCCAUGUUCAUCGAGUGCACGGGCUUUACCAGCACAGUCUGUGACAGACGCAGGGCUUAAUUUCCAUGUUGGCGACAUCGCAGUCAUCUCAGAAUAGUCGGGACCAGUGUGGAGAAUUCAGACAUUUGCUGGCAGUAUGCUGUAGGUGCAAUCCAACACUGAUUAUUUUAUGGCAUGUCUGUGUUGCUGUGUGCUGAAGAUGACAGAACUGAAGCCUUUUUAGGAGCAGUUGAGGCUUUUUAUGUACAGAGCAGAAAUAUAGAAAAACCCUUGAAACACAUUUUGAGCAAAUCCUUUGAUUCUAAUUGCAAGUUUGAAAUGACAAAUGGUAGAGAGAAACUUCAGGAAAAUCUGUGUCUAUCACAGCUCCUUUAUCUCCCCAUCGUCAUCAAUAAGGAAGCAAAAAUGAUUGGCAAAUUCAAAUUCCCACUUAUUGUGCAGAGCUGAGUGUAGGGGCGACACUGCUCUGUGGUGCUUGGGGAAUAGCUGUCACAGCUCUUACAGUGACUACGGCUCUGUUAAACUUUUUACCAUCUUUUAUCUUCCAAUUUGUCCAAAAUUAAGCAUUGG